rnacentral:rRNA from 1 species
CCCUUAGAGUUUGAUCCUGGCUCAGGACGAACGCUGGCGGCGCGCCUAACACAUGCAAGUCGAACGAGAGAUGAGGAGCUUGCUCUUCAAAUCGAGUGGCGAACGGGUGAGUAACGCGUGAGGAACCUGCCUCAAAGAGGGGGACAACAGUUGGAAACGACUGCUAAUACCGCAUAAGCCCACGGCUCGGCAUCGAGCAGAGGGAAAAGGAGUGAUCCGCUUUGAGAUGGCCUCGCGUCCGAUUAGCUAGUUGGUGAGGUAACGGCCCACCAAGGCGACGAUCGGUAGCCGGACUGAGAGGUUGAACGGCCACAUUGGGACUGAGACACGGCCCAGACUCCUACGGGAGGCAGCAGUGGGGAAUAUUGCACAAUGGGGGAAACCCUGAUGCAGCGACGCCGCGUGGAGGAAGAAGGUCUUCGGAUUGUAAAC